rnacentral:rRNA from 1 species
GCAGUAUCCUAACUGUGCUAAGGUAGCAUAAUCAUUAGUCUUUUAAUUGGAGACUGGUAUGAAUGGCUUAACGAGAAAUUGACUUUUUUUGUUAUAUUAAUUGAAUUUAAUUUUUUAGUGAAAAAGCUAAAAUUUUUCAGAAAGACGAGAAGACCCUAUAGAGUUUUAUAUUUUAUAAUAUUUUUUCUUAUUAGAUUUUUUUAGGCUAAAUAUAAAAAAAAUAUUUUGUUGGGGCGACAUUUAGAUAUAAAAAACUCUUUAUUUUUUAAAUUUCUAUAGAAAUAUGGUUGAUCCUUAAGUAAAGAUCAAAAGAAAAAAUUACCUUAGGGAUAACAGCGUAAUCUUUUUUGAGAGUUCUAAUCGACAAAAAGGUUUGCGACCUCGAUGUUGGACUAAAAUUUAGGCAGGGUGCAGCAGUUCUGCUUUAAGGUCUGUUCGACCUAUA